UAGUUUGCGCAGUGGCAGUAUUGUAGCCAAUGAGGUUAAUCCAAGGUGCAAUUAUUGCUAAUUAAUAUGUAGUUGUUGAAAAUAAAAGCACUGUAAAAUAUGAAGGACCUCCAUAUUAAUGCAUGCAUUCAGGU